AGAGUUUGAUCCUGGCUCAGGAUGAACGCUAGCGGCAGGCUUAAUACAUGCAAGUCGAGGGGCAGCGCAGUGUAGCAAUACAUGGGCGGCGACCGGCAAACGGGUGCGGAACACGUACGCAACCUACCCAAAACUGGGGGAUAGCCCACCGAAAGGUGGAUUAAUACCUCGUAACCUGAUGAAGUGGCAUCACUUUAUUAGUAUAGCUCCGGCGGUUUUGGAUGGGCGUGCGCCUGAUUAGGUAGUUGGCGGGGUAACGGCCCACCAAGCCUGCGAUCAGUAACUGGUGUGAGAGCACGACCAGUCACACGGGCACUGAGACACGGGCCCGACUCCUACGGGAGGCAGCAGUAAGGAAUAUUGGUCAAUGGACGCAAGUCUGAACCAGCCAUGCCGCGUGAAGGAUGAAGGUCCUCUGGAUUGUAAACUUCUUUUAUCUGGGACGAAACCCGGGCAUUCUUGCCCGAUUGACGGUACCAGAGGAAUAAGCACCGGCUAACUCCGUGCCAGCAGCCGCGGUAAUACGGAGGGUGCAAGCGUUAUCCGGAUUCACUGGGUUUAAAGGGUGCGUAGGAGGGCAGGGAAGUCAGUGGUGAAAUCUCCGGGCUUAACUCGGAAACUGCCGUUGAUACUCUCUGUCUUGAAUCCCGUGGAGGUGAGCGGAAUAUGUCAUGUAGCGGUGAAAUGCUUAGAUAUGACAUAGAACACCAAUUGCGAAGGCAGCUCGCUACACGAAGAUUGACUCUGAGGCACGAAAGCGUGGGGAUCAAACAGGAUUAGAUACCCUGGUAGUCCACGCCCUAAANCGAUGGAUACUCGACAUACGCGAUACACAGUGUGUGUCUGAGCGAAAGCAUUAAGUAUCCCACCUGGGAAGUACGACCGCAAGGUUGAAACUCAAAGGAAUUGACGG
rnacentral:rRNA from 1 species